GCGAGUAUGGUUUAACGGCAGAAUGCGACCUUCCCAAGGUUGAGACGCGGGUUCAAUUCCCGCUACUCGCA
rnacentral:tRNA from 1 species